ACAGGUUCUUCCCACAGGAGCCCCGCACACCUGUGCUGACAGCAGCCACCAUGGAACUGUAUCUGAGUGAGGGGCCCCGGAGCGGCCACGUGUGUGUGAGCUCCCAUCGGCGCAAAUGGGGACACCGGCAGGUGCCCCGUCCACCACCUAUCCUGUCCCUGCUCAGUGUCAGCCUCCUUGCUGAGUGUGGUCCCAUCGGCAAGUUUUCAGAUAAAUCAAGGAUGCUCCAGCAGGGCCACACAUGUAUCCCCCACUCUGCUGAUGGACCAGAGGCUCCCCAGACACGGAAGCCAGAUGUCACCAUGCUGGUCCCUAGAGCAGCCGUGCGGGGCAUGGAGCAGCAGAACUCAGAGCUCAGGCAGGGCUGAUGCGGGAAAGCCGGCCACCCCAUGCUGCGGCCCCCAUGGGGGAAGGAGCUCACCUGAAGGGGGCGCUCUCAUUGGCUGGGAACCUCCAGUGACUCCACAGCACUCUCCUGAGUUGUGCCAGACACCUUCGAAACAGUCACUGGGCUGAAAAGUGACCAGGCCACGGGGUUGAGCUGUGAAGAUGAGUUGGCCGUGGUUGUGGAUGGCGAGGGAGGGAGCAGCCCCGGCCUGGGCUCUGGCAGCCCUGCUGAGUCCAUCUCCCUGAGGAUGGGCCGGGCUGAGCCGGGACUGGCACUCCAUGAUGUGGAGUGGGGCGUGCUGGUGUGGACCGGGGUGUGCUGGGGGAGCCUUUGCUGGGAAAGACUCCUGCUGAGAGGAGCCCUGUGUCGUGGAGGCUGUGGUUCCGAAUCUCUCAGCAGGUGUGAUUCUCUGCUCAUUCAAGUUAACUAAACUAUAAAUCACACCUGCCACAUCCCAUUCCCACGAUGCUCAUUUCUUGUCAGAAAGUUCUCUGGGCAUCAGGAGUAGCUCGAUACGCAAAAUGAAGCAGGUGUGGCAACUUCAGACAACCGAGUGUCCGCUGGGCUCUGCCUGCAGGUGUCUCCUGUUUCAUGAAACCAACUUGGCCCUGAUCGGCCCAUUAUGAUAGGGAGGGCGGAGUUCGCUCCUGGUGAUGGAGGGGCCGGCUCUGGGAGGAUGAACGAGGCUCAAACAAGAUGACAUGACUGUGGCAGGUGUUCCUGCCCAGGUCCCUCUGACAUUGCAGGUGCCAUGCUCCAUUGUCCCGCUCCACCCACGUCCUCCUUUGUCCCAUCUCUAGAGGCAUCCAGGAAUGCCCAUCUCAAGGGAAUUCCUCCCUAAGCCCAUGUUCUCUCCCAGCACGCCCUUUAGUUCUCCUCCAAUUUACAGCCUUGCUUUUUA
rnacentral:lncRNA from 1 species